rnacentral:rRNA from 1 species
GACGAACGCUGGCGGCGUGCUUAACACAUGCAAGUCGAACGGAAAGGCCCUGCUUUUGUGGGGUGCUCGAGUGGCGAACGGGUGAGUAACACGUGAGUAACAUGCCCUUGACUUUGGGAUAACUUCAGGAAACUGGGGCUAAUACCGGAUAGGAGCUCCUGCUGCAUGGUGGGGGUUGGAAAGUUUCGGCGGUUGGGGAUGGACUCGCGGCUUAUCAGCUUGUUGGUGGGGUAGUGGCUUACCAAGGCUUUGACGGGUAGCCGGCCUGAGAGGGUGACCGGCCACAUUGGGACUGAGAUACGGCCCAGACUCCUACGGGAGGCAGCAGUGGGGAGUAUUGCACAAUGGGCGGAAGCCUGAUGCAGCGACGCCGCGUGCGGGAUGACGGCCUUCGGGUUGUAAACCGCUUUCGCCUGUGACGAAGCGUGAGUGACGGUAAUUGGUAAAGAAGCACCGGCUAACUACGUG